CACUGCACUCCAGCCUGGGCAACAAGAGUGAAACUCCAUCUCAAAAAGAAAGAAAGAAAGAAAGAUCUGCAGUCAGCUGUAAGUAAAUACCAGGCAAGGUGGCUCACACCUGUAAUCCCAGCACUUCGGGAGGCUGAGGCAGCAGGCGGAUCACUUGAGUCCAGGAGUUCACGAUCAGCCUGGGCAACGUGGCAAAACCCUCUCUACAAAAAAUAAAAAAUUAGCCAGGUGUGGUGGUGCACACCUGUAAUCCCAGCUACUCAGGGGGCUGAGGCAGGAGGAUUGCUUAAGCCCGGGAGGUCAAGCCUGCAGUAAGCUGAGGUUGAGUCACUGUACUCCAGCUUGGAUCUCCAGCUUGAGAUCCUGUCUGAAAAAAAAAAGAAAAAGAAAAUAAAAAUGCUGGCCAAGUGCCUAAGAAUGGAUGAAGAAACUCUGGGUGAGGGAGCUCAAUAGUGAUAGUUGAGUGACUGUGUGGGACACUUAGGAAGACACUCUAGCCCCUCAGAUCUUUGAAGGGCUAUUGUAUGCUAGGAAAGCCCACUGUUCUUUAUAAUUCCAAAGGCAGGAAUGUCCCCUUUGGGAAGGAUGAAAGUUGGAUGACUACAGCUGGAGAGCAGUGGGAUAGACUCCUUCGGAAGAGGGAGACCCCUGUCCUGGAGGCGGCCAGGGAUGUCACGGAGGUAGCUUUAAGUGAAAAAGUCUUGAGUUUAGUCAGAAGCCCCCAGUGCUGCAUUGGCUCCCUCCCACUUCCAUCAGAGGGGACGGGAAAGAAUAGUAAGAAAAGCCACAGCUUCCCUCCCAUGAACAGAGACCACCGCCGGAUCAUCCAUGACCUGGCCCAAGUUUAUGGCCUGGAGAGCGUGAGCUAUGACAGUGAACCGAAGCGCAAUGUGGUGGUCACUGCCAUCAGGGGGAAGUCCGUUUGUCCUCCUACCACGCUGACAGGUGUGCUAGAAAGGGAAAUGCAGGCACGG
rnacentral:sRNA from 1 species